AUUGAACGCUGGCGGCAUGCCUUACACAUGCAAGUCGAACGGUAACAGGUCUUCGGAUGCUGACGAGUGGCGAACGGGUGAGUAAUAUAUCGGAACGUACCCAGUCGUGGGGGAUAACUAUCCGAAAGGAUAGCUAAUACCGCAUACGUCCUGAGGGAGAAAGCGGGGGAUCGCAAGACCUCGCGCGAUUGGAGCGGCCGAUAUCGGAUUAGCUAGUUGGUGAGGUAAAGGCUCACCAAGGCGACGAUCCGUAGCUGGUCUGAGAGGACGACCAGCCACACUGGAACUGAGACACGGUCCAGACUCCUACGGGAGGCAGCAGUGGGGAAUUUUGGACAAUGGGGGCAACCCUGAUCCAGCCAUUCCGCGUGAGUGAAGAAGGCCUCGGUUGUAAGACUCUUUCGGUCAGGAACGAAACGGACGUACGUCUCUAACACUAGGGG
rnacentral:rRNA from 1 species